rnacentral:SRP_RNA from 1 species
GCUGGGCGUGGUGGUGAACGCCUGUCAUCCCAGCAGCUUGGGAGGCUUAGACUUGCCGGGGUCCAGCCCUAGCAGGGGUCGAAGGGUCCCACUGGUCGAU